UUCAACAUUACCCCUAAUCCGACGUAAUGUGCACUUUUCUCUUAGUAAGACGCCGUGAUCCAUUAGAAAUUGAUAUAUGCCAAAUAUAUAGUGGGUCAUCAAUAGGUCAAUGUAAAGUUUAUUGGAACAAAUGGCAUAGCCCUUUACGGUUGUGUGUAUUGCCUGAUAAGUACAUUGAUACCUGUAAUGACUGUCUGAUGGAUUUUAAAGACCAUUAUCAAUGAUAUUACGAUAUCAACGCUCAUUUAUUGCGUAAAAUGAUAUGUGUGUCUGAUCAACGGCGGUUAAAUUUGGGAUACCUUUUGGACCCGUCUUGAAACACGGACCAAGGAGUCUAUCUAGUAUGCGAGUAAAUGGAUAGUUAAUGAAAUCUAUUUGCGUAAUAAACUUGACUGUUUUCAUAUGGGAAUACGAUUAAUAAUUGUACACACAAUUAUUUUUCUUCCUUCCCGGGGUAUUUUCAUUCACAUAUAAUGUUAAAGUUGUAUGGAAAAUAUACCAUGAGCACACUGGAUACGACCCGAAAGAUGGUGAACUAUGCCUGAUCAGGUCGAAGUCAGGGGAAACCCUGAUGGAGGACCGAAGCAGUUCUGACGUGCAAAUCG
rnacentral:rRNA from 1 species